UCUUGGAGAUGAUUCUGCAGUACCCAUAUGGAAUUUUUUUUUUUAAAUAAUAAUGUGAAUAAUAAAAUCAUAAAAUUAAAGACAAAUAAACAGCAAUGAGACAACAACCAUAUCAAACGGGCUCUAAAUGACAAGGUAUCACCAAACAAAGUUUUUCUUUCUUAAAAAAGAAACGGACCUGCAACACUUGAACUCAAAAACCCUAAACAGAGCAAUUGCAUAUAUGAACCAGAAUAGAGAAUUGAGAGUUUAAGAGAGAGAAGUACUAGGAAAUAAGACUUGACUGCUCUAUUGAAAAAUAGAUCUAAAACUGUUAGGGCUUUGAAGUAAUUCCUGUAAAAACAUUUGAGGAUUACAGAUUUCAUUUUCUCAUACUUUCCUCCUAACCAAACAAUCCUAAAACCCAAAACCCUGAUUCACAUUUCAAGACAAUCAGACAUUAAAAAGAAAAAAAAAAAAGGAAUAGAAAAACAACAAAAGAAUAGAGGGUUACUUUUGAUCCGAUCAACGAUGAAUCCUUUCUCCUCUCUUUCUCCCGGUUCUCCUUUCUAGCUCUCUGUUUUCCUCUCUGUGUCUCAGGUACCAGCUCCUCCCUCUCUUCCGGUUCUCCUAGUUUACCUUUUUCCUCCCAGAGUCUCCCAACGGCCAGGAAAACCCACUACUCCCAUCACCUGCUGGUUACUCUUGCUUUUCAGCUCACUAACCCGCCUAAAAGAAGAAGCAAUCCCUCUUCGAAACGUGACAACUGCAGGGAAUAUCUGCCGCCCUUAACAAACCCAAUAUCCCCCUUUUGCCAGGUGUCCUCAUCUGGACCUAGGAGAAUAUCCUCUCCAUAGCUCCUAACAGCCCCACCUAGACAAUUGUGUUUUGUACUUGAACCC
rnacentral:lncRNA from 1 species